rnacentral:rRNA from 1 species
UACGUACGAGGCGAGCGUUAUCCGGAAUUACUGGGCGUAAAGCGCGCGCAGGUGGCUUGCUAAGUCGGACGUGAAAUCUCCCGGCCUAACUGGGAGGGGUCGUCCGAGACUGGCCGGCUUGAGGCUGGCAGGAGGUAGGUGGAAUUCCUGGUGUAGUGGUGAAAUGCGUAGAUAUCCGGAGGAACACCAGCGGCGAAGGCGGCUUUCUGGUCCGAUACUGACGCUGAGGUGCGAAAGCGUGGGGAGCGAUCCGG